UGUUGGCAGGUUCGUCCAGCACACCGGAGGUCCUGGAGCGGAUGACAACCAUCGCGUCCAAGAUACUGCAGCUCGAGGAGACCAUCGCCAUUCAGAGCAAUGAAAUCUGUAGAAGGCCAUGAUGGGAAAGUGGUGGACUCCAUGAAGGAUGUUACUUGCUAUAUCAGUUAUGUUGUCAUGACCGGGAAGUUUUCUUUUCUUUACGCAACGCAUGUGGUUACUGAUUGGUUGACAUCUCAAUUUGAACCUUAUUUUAUUCCUGCAAGUUAG